rnacentral:rRNA from 1 species
ACUCCUACGGGAGGCAGCAGUGGGGAAUUUUGGACAAUGGGGGCAACCCUGAUCCAGCCAUGCCGCGUGCGGGAAGAAGGCCUUCGGGUUGUAAACCGCUUUUAGUCGGGAAGAAAAGGCAAGGGUUAACACCUCUUGUUCUUGACGGUACCGGCGGAAUAAGCACCGGCUAACUACGUGCCAGCAGCCGCGGUAAUACGUAGGGUGCGAGCGUUAAUCGGAAUUACUGGGCGUAAAGGGUGCGCAGGCGGUUUUGUAAGUCAGAUGUGAAAUCCCCGGGCUUAACCUGGGAAUGGCGUUUGAAACUGCAAGGCUAGAGUGUAGCAGAGGGGAGUGGAAUUCCGCGUGUAGCAGUGAAAUGCGUAGAUAUGCGGAGGAACACCGAUGGCGAAGGCAGCUCCCUGGGCUAACACUGACGCUCAUGCACGAAAGCGUGGGGAGCAAACAGGAUUAGAUACCCUGGUAGUC